rnacentral:rRNA from 1 species
AUUGACCGCUGGCGGAAGGACUAACACAUGAAAGUCGAACGGAGUGGCGGACGGGUGAGUAACGCGUAGGUAACUGCCUCAUAGCGGGGGAUAACUAUUGGAAACGAUAGCUAAUACCGCAUACUGUGAGAUGGACCUUCGUUGUAUUAGGUCGUUGGUGAGGUAAAGGCUCACCAAGGCGACGAUACAUAGCCGACCUGAGAGGGUGAUCGGCCACAAGGGGACUGCUAAACGGCCCAGAGCCCUGCGGGCGGCAGCAGUAGGUAAUCUGCGGAAAUGGACGGAAGUCUGACCGCGCAACGCCGCGUGAGUGAAGAAGGUUUUAGGAUCGGAAAGCUCUGUUGGUAGAGAAGCGGUAACUAACCAGAAAGGGACGGCUAACUACGUGCCAGCAGCCGCGGUAAUUC